rnacentral:lncRNA from 1 species
GACACACGCUCUCUCCCCUUCCCUGCCCGCCCAUCAUGGGGCUCCGAGAGACUUGCCGCGCUCCGCCUGUACUAAACCGAGCCGGACGCACGGUCUACGUGAUUCAAUGUCUUUGGUCUACUUGCGGCAUUGCUCAUUUUUCCUUAAUUGGUAAGCAACACGCAAUGUUUUGAUCUUCAAGUGACUUUAGUACUUUACCCACGUGACGAAGUCCGAUGUCGAUGUCUGAAGUAUCGAAUCGUCUAUGCAUGACUUUGAUAACUCGAAAGUCCAGCUUUUUGUGAUUGCUGAGCUUUACUUCUCACAAUGAGUAUCGUUUAUGUUUUUUGAAACUAUUGCUGAUAAAAUGUGACUCAUCACUGUGUCAACAAAACCAACGGACCGUACUGUGUAUUUUCACGUGAAUCUUUGUUUUUUAUUGCGUUUUAGUCAUUAGCCUUAGAAUGGACAGUUCCAUCUAAAUUGGUCUUGCUUUCGAAAUUUUGCAAAUUAUACUUCGAAAAAUGUGGAGCCUUUUGAAAUCCGAAUUUCUGGAGAGUAUUUGGGGCAUUACUGUAGCAGUUGCACGAGGAAUCAUUGACAGUCUAAAAGGUGCCAUCAUAUUGUUUUAUCUUGACAACAGAAUCAAUGAAAAAGCAACACGUAUAAGCACACCAAGGCAUCAGAAAAAAGAAGCUGCUGUGAAAGUAACUCCUCUGUAAGUAUCAUGAGCUCCUUAAGACUAAAAAUUUCUUGGCAUUGCUCGUUUUCUCCAAUCUAAACUAACGCUUAUCUUUUUUUAUUGUACUUAGGGGUAUAUUUUAUAGUACUUUAAUUUUUAGCCAAUUCCUAAGGUUUUAUAUAACAAUUGUAUGACAAUGCAUAGAGUCUUGUUAUGUCCACCUAUCUCGUAUUUGCUUCGAAAUCUCCUUGCUUUAAAAAAUAUUCCUCUUGAAAACCUAAUCGACCAGUUGAGCUGGCAACAGAAUUGUGUUUUGAUGCUUGAUUCUUGUAGAUUAUCUAAAAGUAAUAAGAUCUGUCCAAACCGUAACUUCAUACUUUGAAUAUUAGUUGAGAUAUCAUCCUUUGAGAAGUGGGGUUUUGAUAUCAUCCACCGCAAUAGUGCGUAACAUGGUAUGUACUACCGCGGUGGAUGACAUCAUAAAUUGAGUUUUUCAAGCCGGUAUAUUUCGAUUAAAUUCCAAGUAGAAAGUUGCUGUUUGGACGGAUCUUAUUAAUUUAGAUGAUCCGCAAGAAUAAAGCAUCCAAACACGAUUCUGUGACCAGUACAAUUGGAUUGCAUUUGCAAAAAGGAACCACUAGCAUUGCAUGAUGCUAGAUUGUGCAACUUC